rnacentral:rRNA from 1 species
UACGUAGGCAGCGAGCGUUGUUCGGAGUUACUGGGCGUAAAGGGUGUGUAGGCGGUUGUUUAAGUUUGGUUGUGAAAUCUCCCGGCUCAACUGGGAGGGUGCGCCGAAUACUGAAUGACUUGGAGUGCGGGAGAGGAAAGGUGGAAUUCCUGGUGUAGCGGUGAAAUGCGUAGAUAUCAGGAGGAACACCGGUGGUGUAGACGGCUUUCUGGACCGUAACUGACGCUGAGACACGAAAGCGUGGGUAGCAAACAGG